UGGCGGACGGGUGAGUAAUGUCUGGGAAACUGCCUGAUGGAGGGGGAUAACUACUGGAAACGGUAGCUAAUACCGCAUAACGUCGCAAGACCAAAGAGGGGGACCUUCGGGCCUCUUGCCAUCGGAUGUGCCCAGAUGGGAUUAGCUAGUAGGUGGGGUAACGGCUCACCUAGGCGACGAUCCCUAGCUGGUCUGAGAGGAUGACCAGCCACACUGGAACUGGGACACGGUCCAGACUCCUACGGGAGGCAGCAUG
rnacentral:rRNA from 1 species